rnacentral:rRNA from 1 species
AACUACAGGAUUACCUCAGUAGCGGCGAGUGAAGAGGUAAAAGCCCAAGAUGUUAAUCUGGUACAAAAUACUAGAAUUGUAAUCUAAAGGGAUUCUCAGAAAGAGUUAACGCGUCAUAAGUCCUGUGGAAAAAGGCACCAGAGAGGGUGAUAGUCCCGUCUUCGGAUGUGUUAACCUGUAUGAGAGUUUUCUAAGAUCAGUUUUUUUUUUUGGGGGAAAUAAAA